rnacentral:misc_RNA from 1 species
UUCCUCAUUCCUUUACUGGUAUAAUGAUGAACGCAGGACAGUGGAAGAAACAAACCGGCCAGUGACUGAAAAAAUGUAGUGUGUAGUCCCGGGAGUGAGUUGCUGUAUCUUGUAACUAGUGCCGGGUGUCGUCUCUUGUGUCUCGUGUUGCCGUGUCGUCGUGUGUCGUGCCGUAAAAACCACGUUUGCCGAAAAUAUAUAGAUAUCUGCAGUUGGCUUAUAAAACCGUGUGCAUGUAUGCAAUCUAUUAUUAACAGAGUCGGCUCUGAAUUGCACUUCCUCACUGAUAGUGACAUAUGUUACACUUCGAACAGAAAUGGAGAAACUGUGAGAUUUGAUACAAUUAUUGGCCACAUUGAGGAUAUAUUAGUUGAAGAGGAAUAUCAUAAACUGCAGAACGACUUCUUGGAGAAAUACUGGCAGGAAUUCGAAAAUGACGAAGAAAACAAACUUGUGUAUACGGAUAUAUUCAAUGAAUAUGUGAAACUUCUUGAAGAGCACAUUGAAAAAAGACUGAAUGAUCUAGUUCCAAACUUUUCCAUGGCAGCAUUUCUUGAAGAUUUGAUGGAACAGAAGGACGCUCUUGAUGGCGAAGUCUUUGAAGUUCUUCUGACGUUAGCAGAUUUCAGAUGCUUCAAAGACAUGGUUCUUGAUUUUCGAGCGGAAGGAUCUAUCCCUGUUUCGGGAAAUGAAGCUGCCUGGAAACAAAGAAUUCGCACUUCGCAGCGUUCAUGGCAACUCUUGUAGUGUUGCUACGUAGUUUGAUCCUGAACUCUGGAAUUAGAAUUAUCACAGGCCAAAAACAACGAAUUCGAUGAAGGAAGGAAGUUCGGUUGACUUCAGUGACGGAAUAACUAUUACACCUGUUAGUUUUGCUGAUUAAUAAUUAUUUGUCAAUUAUUGAAAUGUAAUCGUCACGUUUGUACCUGCACUUCUAGUCGAAUUUAUUCAGUUAUGCGACACCUUAAAUUCCAUGCACCAAGUGAAUGUAUCGUUGCAAAGAAAUCAAAAAAUAAAAAUUUUGUACUGAUCUUUUCAUCAAACUUUUGAAUUACAAUUUAUAAGAUGCUUUAUAA